CCUACGGGGGGCAGCAGUGAGGAAUAUUGGUCAAUGGACGCAAGUCUGAACCAGCCAUGCCGCGUGCAGGAAGACGGCUCUAUGAGUUUUAACCUGCUUUUGUACGAGGGUAAACGCAGAUACGCGUAUCUGUCUGAAAGUAUCGUACGAAUAAGGAUCGUCUAACUCCGUGCCAGCAGCCGCGGUAAUACGGAGGAUUCAAGCGUUAUCCGGAUUUGUUGGGUUUAAAGGGUGCGUAGGCGGUCGGAUAAGUUAGAGUUGAAAUCCUCAGGCUCAACUUCGGAAUUGCCUUUGAUACUGUUCGGCUAGAGAGUAGUUGCGGUAGGCGGAAUGUAUGGUGUAGCGGUGAAAUGCGUAGAGAUCAGAAAGAACACCGAUUGCGAAGGCAGCUUACCGAGCUACUUCUGACGCUGAGGCACGAAAGCGUGGGGAGCAAACAGGAUUAGAUACCCCAGUAGUC
rnacentral:rRNA from 1 species